rnacentral:rRNA from 1 species
GGCUCAGGAUGAACGCUGGCGGUAUGCCUUACACAUGCAAGUCGAACGGAAAUUAGCUUCGGUUAAUUUUAGUGGCGGACGGGUGAGUAACACGUGAGAAUUCGCCUUUAGGAGGGGGAUAACGGAUGGAAACAUUCGCUAAAACCCCAUAUGCCCCUGGGUGAAACAGAGGAGAUAAGUAAUACUGAUUCACCUCUGCCUGAAGAGAAGCUCGCGGCUGAUUAGCUAGUUGGUAGGGUAAAGGCCUACCAAGGCGACGAUCAGUAGCUGGUCUGAGAGGACGAUCAGCCACACUGGAACUGAGACACGGUCCAGACUCCUACGGGAGGCAGCAGUGAGGAAUUUUCUGCAAUGGGCGAAAGCCUGACAGAGCAAUACCGCGUGAGGGAUGAAGACUUACUGAGUUGUAAACCUCGGUACCUUAAGGAAGAAGAUCUGACGGUACUUAAGGUGGAAAGCAUCGGCUAACUCCGUGCCAGCAGCCCCGGUAAGACGGGGGAUGCAAGUGUUAUCCGGAUUUACUGGGCGUAAAGCGUCUGCAGGUGGUUUCUUAAGUCUACUGUUAAAUCUUGAGGCUCAACCUCAAAUCUGCAGUAGAAACUAGGAGACUUGAGUAUAGUAGGGGUAGAGGGAAUUUCCAGUGGAGCGGUGAAAUGCGUAGAUAUUGGAAAGAACACCGAUGGCGAAGGCACUCUACUGGGCUAUUACUGACACUCAGAGACGAAAGCUAGGGGAGCAAAUGGGAUUAGAUACCCCAGUAGUCCUAGCCGUAAACGAUGGA